rnacentral:lncRNA from 1 species
GGGCACAGGACCUUUGAGCUCGUUGAGCGCUCUCCCGGACCACCAUGGGCUCAGAGAUGGAGCCACUGUUCCGGGCCUGGAGCUAUUUUAGACGCAGGAAGUUCCAGCUCUGCGCCGAUCUAUGCACGCAGAUGCUGGAGAAGUCCCCUUAUGACCAGGACCCAGCUCCGGACUUGGCAGUGUCUCAGGCGGCUUGGAUUUUGAAAGCGCGAGCGCUGACAGAAAUGGUGUACGUAGAUGAAAUUGACGUGGACCAGGAAGGGAUUGCUGAGAUGACCCUGGAUGAAAAUGCUAUUGCUCAGGUCCCACGCCCUGGCACAUCUUUGAAGCUCCCUGGCACUAACCAGACAGGAGGACCGACUCAAGCUGUCAGGCCAAUCACUCAAGCUG